rnacentral:lncRNA from 1 species
CAAACAUCCAAGAUGAAGUCAAUCCAGGUGAUCGUCGCUAUUCUAGUGUUAACCGCUGUGUGCGUUUCAGGUCAGUUCAAUACCAAGUUCUUUUAUUCUUUAUGCUUCCAUAUUAACAAGGCAAAACUGUUUGUCGAAGAUUCUGACAUUUGGUUUUAUUCUGUCAUUUUGUCCCUACAAUGAGAAAUUAAAAAUAUAUGUUUAUUAAAAUUUUUGCUUCAUAUAUAUUAUGUUUUUUAAUUCUGUUUAUAUAUUAUUCUAUAACUGUCAGAAAAAGAAAAAAAGUUAUUAUAUCUAUGACACAGGUGAUUAAAUUAACAUCACAAUAGCUCUAACUCAUCUUGACUCAUGUUGAAGGUUUUUAUUACUUACUGUAAGAAUAUUUCGAAAUAUGUAGGAAUACAUAAAAAGUAAAAUUACAAAAUACAAAACUCCAAGAAAAAUUCAAAUCGGAAGUUCCUUAUCAUAAGCGAAUGGAAAUGAUAUUAUAUCAUUUCUUUUUCUUUGCCUGUUGUUUCUUUAACAGAGAAUAACAUAUCAGUUUGAUGUGUUUUUUACGGCAACAAAUGAAUCUUAAAUUUACUGAACACCACUUUAAAUCUGCGUUAUCAGUUUUUUUCUAAACAAAAGUUAGAGUUUUCACUACGCACGAAAGGUUGAAGAACAUUUUCAUGUUGUGCUUGAAUACAGCUAUUUGAAUUGGGAAAAAAUUUCAUUUUUCAAAUCUAGGCCCGUUAAGGUUUAGUCACAUUAAAUACGGAACCAAUCAAUUUUACUGCACCAGAUGUGCAUUUUGACAAUAGAUUUCAAUAGAUCGAGGCCAACAUAAUUAAAGAUCAAACACUUAGUUAAAAUAAUUUAAGAGUUUGUUCAACUUUUUCUCGUCCAACUGUACCUUACUUCCGUGAUGAAAAUAAAAUCAAAAUAAAUUAUUUCUUAUGAAGCGGUCUUUUAUGACGUCUUUAAACUAAACCAAUUGGAUGUUGGAUGUGUGUUAUUCUUUCAAAAUAAUAUUUAAUUAAUUCAUUUUGAUGUAGUAUGGCGAAGUGUAUGAUAUAUAAAAGAAAAUAUGAGAAAAUCUGGGGGUUGCUAGGUAAACAACAUUCAAAUCAUAUAUGAAAAUAUUAAAGAAAAUGAACAACAUAGUUCAAUGAAUUGAACUAAUUUACAACAAAUAAAUGAAAAAUUCAACAUGAAAGACAUUGGUCAUAUUGUAGUUUUCAUCUUGUUUGAAUUUGGCUAGUUAAAAUAUCUCGAGACAGAACGACAUGGUGCAGUGUAAUUUAUAUUUCGGUUUUCAGUCAUUCAACUUUCAUUUCAACUAGAAACAUUGAAGUGUUGGUUAUUAUGAAGUUUUUUUGGUUUUUUUUUAAUUUUAGAUAAUUUUUUAUUUUCUUUAUUUUAACAUACAUGGUAUUGUUGUCGUUCAAUACUUAAUACUUACAUAUUUUUUUAUGGUUUGUCGUCAAUUUCGAUUUCUUUGUUACAUUGGGUACAUCAACGUACAUUAUGACUGCUUUUGAUGUGGCAAAUAUACUCAUGAAAUACUAUUUAUGAGUAUUACUUAAAACCAACUAACAUCUCAGGAUAUACAUAAGCUUAACUGGAAUACCUAAUUUUGACAAUUAAAAGCCAAAAAUAAAGGAAAUCACACGUUAUAACUAUGUAUACGACUGCAUGUGAUUUUGUAAUAUCACAAUUGUUCUACUUUUUAUUAACUAUCCCGAAAAUUAAGCUCGUGGAGAGAUAACGAAUUAUGAAUCGGUUCAUCAUUUUCAGUAAUCAAAAGAAGAAGCAAUAUUUUACGUGUGAACAUGGACAUAUCCCUUGUGCGUUAAGAAAUGACUAAUAUUCAUGUUGAGCGUCAAUAAUUUGUAUUAUCAAAUUCAUUUUUUUCUUAUUUAUUACCCUGUUGAAAAUGUUUUUAAGUGUUUUGGACGAAGUAAUAAUAUAAUCAUUUCGUUUUCUUCCGAACAGAAAUAUUACAUACUCUAAGACCUUCUUAUUUCAACCAGUUUAUGAAGUGUAUGUUGUUAAAUUUAAUAUUCAGUGUUAGAUCUAUUUUAGAUUACCUUUUUUUUAUGUAUUGCUCUUUCUGUUGUCCGACAAAUAACAACCUUAUUAUAUCUUACAGCUGGCUAUUACAAAAACUUGAUGCCAAUAUGCUACGAUAAAGAUGGUUAUUGUGAAAUUGGAAAUGCAUGUCGCAAAGGAUUUACAUGUGACGUAAAUCAACCAUAUGGAUGCAAAGGUGCUAAAUGUUGUAUUCGUGGUACGUAUUGAUAUUAAAUGUUUGUUAAGAAUUUUAAAGCACACAACUUAUGUCUUAAAACGUCGUGUUUGGUGACUAUUUCAAUCUAAGCUUGAUAUGAAUUUAAUUUUAAUUAUCAUCUUUUAGAUCAAGUAUACAACACUUAUGAACCACAGGGAUAUAACAGUCAUCGUCACUGGUAGAAAUUACAAAUCAGUAAGGUAAUGUGUACAAAAGGAUUUUUUUAUAUUACUACACGCAAUGGUUAUUUUAAGUCAAUAUUCACAUAUCCUUGGUACACACGGAACAUGCUUCCGAUGUUCCAUAUUAUGUUCUAGACUCCCAUAGUCUGAAGGUUUUCUGAUAAAUUCUUUUGAAGAACGAACUUGAAUUCGUAUAUCAACUCUAAACGCAUAAUGCAUUUUCAAUGAGUAAAUAUACAUUGUUCACUGGUAGUUUUAUUCAUUUGACUGAUAAAACAUCUACACGAAUGAAAAUAUACAUAAAACCAUAUGGUAGACUUGUUGUACUAAAUAUAAAUCAAGCUUUCCAUCCCCAAAAGCUGAAAUUCUAUAAAGGAGUAGGUCCGGUAAGGAUCGAUUUUGGCUUCAAAUUUCAGGUUCAUCAGACGAAAGAUUUUGACCACUUUUUAAACACUUAAGUGUCUAUUUCAUUUGAAACAAUGGUAUGAUACUAAACCCCUUACGGGAAGGAUUGUGCCUGAUGUUCAUAUGAUGAAAUCAUAAUCUUUCAGUCAGUUUAAUUGAAGUCUGGAGGGCAUGUGUUAAUGUAGAGUCUGUUGUUAUUUAUGUAUUAUUGUCAUUUUUGUUUAUUUUCUUUGGUUACAUCUUCUGACAUCAGACUCGGACUUCUCUUGAACUGAAUUUUAAUGUGCGUAUUGUUAUGCUUUUACUUUUCUACACUGGUUAGAGGUAUAGGGGGAGGGUUGAGAUCUGACAAACAUGUUUAACCCCGCCGCAUUUUUGCGCCUGUCCCAAGUCAGGAGCCUCUGGCCUUUGUAAGUCUUGUAUUAUUUAAAUUUUAGUUUCUUGUGUACAAUUUGGAAAUUACUAUGGCGUUCAUUAUCACUGAACUAGUAUAUAUUUGUUUAGGGGCAGCUGAAGGACGCUCCGGGUGCGGAAUUUCUCGCUACAUUGAAGACCUGUUGGUGACUUCUGCUGUUGUGUUUUUUUAUUUUGGUCGGGUGUUGUCUCUUUGACACAUUCCCAUUUCCAUUCCUCAAUUUUAUUAAUUAGUUUUUGUGAAAGAUUUUAACUGAUUAAGUCAUUAAAAACGACCCGAUUCAAGCUCAAAUAUGAAAAAUCUACCAAAAAAGCUAAAAAAUGUCACUUUUCAGAUGGUUUUUGUAAAAAAUGAAAGUGGCCGCAUCCGUGUUCAUCCUCAACCUUAAUAUAUGUUAUGUAUUAUCAUAAAAUACACCCUACAUUUUAAUAUUAAGGAUGAACACGAAUGCGGCCAAUUUCGUUUUACACGUAAACCAUCUAAAAUUUAACUAAAAUGCUCGAAUUGUGAAGAUUUCAGUAACUUAGCAUGACUUAAUGCUGCUAGUACACGAUAUAUGUGCAUUGUAUAGUCAACAACAGCCCAUAUUUAUGUAGUAGAAACAUUCUUCUGUCGAAAAAAUAACUAAAAGUGGACAUUUUAACAAUUUUGCAAUACUGCUAUAUUUUGGGGCCAAAAAGAGGUCUUACUGGACCUACUCCUUUUCGAUUAAAGGGGUGUUUAAUCAUAUUAUUGUCGUGAGGCACGACAUGUAUGUUUAAUAUGGUCAAAAUUAUAGAAAACUGUUAACAAAAAUUUGUAUUUCCGAAAUACUCAGGAUUUCCUACCUCAGGAAUAGAUCACCGUAGCUUGAAUUUGUAAAACCUUCCUGAAUUAGGCUCGUCAAUGCUCAUUUGCCACGUACUUUAUUUGGUAUUUUUAUUAUUUUUCUUUUCCAGUUUCAUUUAUAAGUCUUUUGUUAACGAAACGCGUGUGUAGGGUACAAAAUAUAAAUCAUGAUAUCUAUGAUGAGUUUAUUUACGAUGCAAUUUGUGACAAAUCUCAAUAAAAUAUCUUCGAAUGAUGGCUUAUCUGUUUUGUAGAUCAUUUAGGUAAAAGGACAACUGAAAUUUAUAUCAAUAAUACAUGGUGUUGUCAAAUCAAGAGACUUAUAUGCACGAAUCAACACUUUUGUUUCUUUUGACCAAAUGUAAUUCUAAAGCAAGGAUGAGGAUUAAUUGUCAUCAAUUUUCUUUAUUUUAAUCUACACCAGAAAUAUAUAUCGAAGAAUAGUAUUUGAACCGUUCGCCAUUAUCAACUUCAAUUAAUGAAUUUAUUUUUCAGGCUACGGUUACCGAAGAGAGAUGUUCUAAGAGGAUAUAUUUAAAUGAAGUCAAUAACAAACUAUGAUUUCAUAUAAAAGAUUUAAGAAAUAAAAAAAUGUCCGAGUUUAUGAUAUACUUUAUAUGUCAACAUAAAAAACUGUAGCAUA